rnacentral:piRNA from 1 species
UGCUAGGGCCCUGGACAUCACUUUUUCCUG